UGUGGGAGCGAGCCUGCUCGCGAUAGCGCUGUGUCAGUCAGCAUUUUUUUCGAUUGACAUACCGCUAUCGCGAGCAGGCUCGCUCCCACA
rnacentral:misc_RNA from 1 species